AAGGAAUAUUGGUCAAUGGACGAAAGUCUGAACCAGCCAUCCCGCGUGCAGGAUGACUGCCCUAUGGGUUGUAAACUGCUUUUAGUAGAGAAGAAACGCAGUCAUUUAUGAUUGCCUGACGGUACCUACAGAAUAAGCACCGGCUAACUCCGUGCCAGCAGCCGCGGUAAUACGGAGGGUGCGAGCGUUAUCCGGAAUCACUGGGUUUAAAGGGUGCGUAGGCGGGGGAUUAAGUCAGUGGUGAAAUCUUGUCGCUUAACGAUAAAAUUGCCAUUGAUACUGAUUUUCUUGAAUUGGGUUGAGGUUAGCGGAAUGUGACAUGUAGCGGUGAAAUGCAUAGAUAUGUCAUGGAACACCAAUUGCGAAGGCAGCUAGCUGGGCCUUGAGUGACGCUGAGGCACGAAAGCGUGGGUAGCGAAC
rnacentral:rRNA from 1 species